rnacentral:rRNA from 1 species
UGGGGAAUUUUGGACAAUGGGCGCAAGCCUGAUCCAGCCAUGCCGCGUGCGGGAAGAAGGCCUUCGGGUUGUAAACCGCUUUUGUCAGGGAAGAAAUCCUCUGAGUUAAUACCUCGGGAGGAUGACGGUACCUGAAGAAUAAGCACCGGCUAACUACGUGCCAGCAGCCGCGGUAAUACGUAGGGUGCAAGCGUUAAUCGGAAUUACUGGGCGUAAAGCGUGCGCAGGCGGUUUUGUAAGACAGAGGUGAAAUCCCCGGGCUCAACCUGGGAACUGCCUUUGUGACUGCAAGGCUUGAGUGCGGCAGAGGGGGGAUGGAAUUCCGCGUGUAGCAGUGAAAUGCGUAGAUAUGCGGAGGAACACCGAUGGCGAAGGCAAUCCCCUGGGCCUGCACUGACGCUCAUGCACGAAAGCGUGGGGAGCAAACAGGAUUAGAUACCCUGGUAGUCCACGCCCUAAAACGAUGUCAACUGGUUGUUGGGAAGGUUCCUUCUCAGUAACGUAGCUAACGCGUGAAGUUGACCGCCUGGGGAGUACGGCCGCAAGGUUGAAACUUAAAUGAAUUGACGGGGGU